rnacentral:rRNA from 1 species
UACGAAGGGGGCUAGCGUUGCUCGGAAUCACUGGGCGUAAAGGGUGCGUAGGCGGGUUUUUAAGUCAGGGGUGAAAUCCUGGAGCUCAACUCCAGAACUGCCUUUGAUACUGAAGAUCUUGAGUCCGGGAGAGGUGAGUGGAACUGCGAGUGUAGAGGUGAAAUUCGUAGAUAUGCGGAGGAACACCGGUGGCGAAGGCGGCCAUCUGGACGAGUACUGACGCUGAGACGCGAAAGCGUGGGGAGCAAACAGG